rnacentral:tRNA from 1 species
GGAGAUGUGGCUCAGUAGUAGAGCACUUUCCUUACAUGCAUGAGGCUCUGGGUUUCAUCUCCA